rnacentral:misc_RNA from 1 species
GAUGAAGAACGCAGCGAAAUGCGAUAAGUAAUGUGAAUUGCAGAAUUCAGUGAAUCAUCGAAUCUUUGAACGCACAUUGCGCCCGCCAGUAUUCUGGCGGGCAUGCCUGUCCGAGCGUCAUUUCAACCAUCAAGCCCCCGGGCUUGUGUUGGGGACCUGCGGCUGCCCGCAGGCCCUGAAAACCAGUGGCGGGCUCGCUGUCACACCGAGCGUAGUAGCAAUCACCUCGCUCAGGGCGUGCUGCGGGUUCCGGCCGUUAAACAGCCUUACAAAACCCAAGGUUGACCUCGGAUCAGGUAGAAAGACCCGCUGAACUUAAGCAUAUCAAUAAGCGGAGGA